rnacentral:rRNA from 1 species
GACGAACGCUGGCGGCGUGCUUAACACAUGCAAGUCGUACGGUAAGGCCCUUUCGGGGGUACACGAGUGGCGAACGGGUGCGUAACACGUGAGUAGCCUGCCCACAACUUUGGGAUAACGCUAGGAAACUGGUGCUAAUACUGGAUAUGUGCUCCUGCUGCAUGGUGGGGGUUGGAAAGCUCCGGCGGUUGUGGAUGGACUCGCGGCCUAUCAGCUUGUUGGUGGGGUAGUGGCCUACCAAGGCGGCGACGGGUAGCCGGCCUGAGAGGGUGACCGGCCACAUUGGGACUGAGAUACGGCCCAGACUCCUACGGGAGGCAGCAGUGGGGAAUAUUGCACAAUGGGCGCAAGCCUGAUGCAGCAACGCCGCGUGCGGGAUGACGGCCUUCGGGUUGUAAACCGCUUUCAGCAGGGACGAAGCUUUUUGUGACGGUACCUGCAGAAGAAGCACCGGCUAACUACGUG